rnacentral:rRNA from 1 species
AUACGUAGGGUGCGAGCGUUGUCCGGAAUUACUGGGCGUAAAGAGCUCGUAGGUGGUUUGUCGCGUCGUCUGUGAAAUUCCGGGGCUUAACUCCGGGCGCGCAGGCGAUACGGGCAUAACUUGAGUACUGUAGGGGAGACCGGAAUUCCUGGUGUAGCGGUGAAAUGCGCAGAUAUCAGGAGGAACACCGGUGGCGAAGGCGGGUCUCUGGGCAGUAACUGACGCUGAGGAGCGAAAGCAUGGGUAGCGAACAGGAUUAGAUACCCUGGUAGUCCAUGCCGUAAACGGUGGGCGCUAGGUGUAGGGGUCUUCCACGACUUCUGUGCCGUAGCUAACGCAUUAAGCGCCCCGCCUGGGGAGUACGGCCGCAAGGCUAAAACUCAAAUGAAUUGACGGGG